rnacentral:rRNA from 1 species
AGAGUUUGAUCAUGGCUCAGAAUCAACGCUGGCGGCGAGCUUAACACAUGCAAGUCGCACGAGAAAGUGGAGCAAUCCAUGAGUAAAGUGGCGUACGGGUGAGUAACACGUGGAUCAUCUACCUCUUAGUGGGGAAUAACCCUGGGAAACCGGGGCUAAUACCGCAUAAGCCUGAAAAGGGAAAGCAGCAAUGCGCUGAGAGAGGAGUCCGCGGCCGAUUAGCUAGUUGGUAGGGUAAAGGCCUACCAAGGCAAUGAUCGGUAGCCGGCCUGAGAGGGCACACGGCCACACUGGCACUGAAACACGGGCCAGACUCCUACGGGAGGCAGCAGUGGGGAAUCUUGCACAAUGGAGGAAACUCUGAUGCAGCGACGCCGCGUGAGCGAUGAAGCCCUUCGGGGUGUAAAGCUCUUUCGACGGGAACGAUAAUGACGGUACCCGGAGAAGAAGCUGCGGCUAACUACGUGCCAGCAGCCGCGGUAAUACGUAGGCAGCAAGCGUUGUUCGGAAUUACUGGGCGUAAAGAGUGUGUAGGCGGUUCUCUAUGUUCGGUGUGAAAUCUCCCGGCUUAACUGGGAGGGUGCGCCGAAAACUGGAGGGCUUGAGUAUGGGAGAGGAAAGCGGAAUUCCUGGUGUAGCGGUGAAAUGCGUAGAUAUCAGGAGGAACACCUGCGGUGUAGACGGCUUUCUGGACCAUCACUGACGCUGAGACACGAAAGCGUGGGUAGCAAACAGGAUUAGAUACCCUAGUAGUCC